rfam:Pteropus alecto contig42584, whole genome shotgun sequence.
GCUGUGCCCUACUUGGAUAUGUCCCAGUUGCUUAGACUAUGUGUAAUUGGUUCAUUUCUGAGUGGAGCAAGCU